AUUGAACGCUGGCGGCAGGCUUAACACAUGCAAGUCGAACGAUGAUUAUCUAGCUUGCUAGAUAUGAUUAGUGGCGGACGGGUGAGUAACAUUUAGGAGUCUGCCUAGUAGUGGGGGAUAGCUCGGGGAAACUCGAAUUAAUACCGCAUACGACCUACGGGUGAAAGGGGGCGCAAGCUCUUGCUAUUAGAUGAGCCUAAAUCAGAUUAGCUAGUUGGUGGGGUAAAGGCCCACCAAGGCGACGAUCUGUAACUGGUCUGAGAGGAUGAUCAGUCACACCGGAACUGAGACACGGUCCGGACUCCUACGGGAGGCAGCGGUGGGGAAUAUUGGACAAUGGGGGCAACCCUGAUCCAGCCAUGCCGCGUGUGUGAAGAAGGCCUUUUGGUUGUAAAGCACUUUAAGCAGGGAGGAGAGGCUAAUGGUUAAUACCCAUUAGAUUAGACGUUACCUGCAGAAUAAGCACCGGCUAACUCUGUGCCAGCAGCCGCAGUAA
rnacentral:rRNA from 1 species